GAUGAACGCUGGCGGCGUGCCUAAUACAUGCAAGUCGAGCGAACGGACGAGAAGCUUGCUUCUCUGAUGUUAGCGGCGGACGGGUGAGUAACACGUGGAUAACCUACCUAUAAGACUGGGAUAACUUCGGGAAACCGGAGCUAAUACCGGAUAAUAUUUUGAACCGCAUGGUUCAAAAGUGAAAGACGGUCUUGCUGUCACUUAUAGAUGGAUCCGCGCUGCAUUAGCUAGUUGGUAAGGUAACGGCUUACCAAGGCAACGAUGCAUAGCCGACCUGAGAGGGUGGUCGGCCACACUGUAACUGAGACACGGCCCAGACUCCUACGGGAGGCAGCAGUAGGGAAUCUUCCGCGAUGGACGAAAGCGUGACGGAGCAACGCCGCGUGAGUGAUGAAGGUCUUAGGAUCGUAAAACUCUGUUAUUAGGGAAGAACAUAUGUGUAAGUAACUGUGCACAUCUUGACGGUACCUAAUCAGAAAGCCACGGCUAACUACGUG
rnacentral:rRNA from 1 species